AUUAAGACCCAGCCUCACUUCCCUAACCCUAACCGGCCGCCACCUAAACCUAGCGCGCGCCACUCUCCCUGGCAGCCGCCGCCAGGAAGCCUCCACUCCAGCGCCCGAGCGCGACGGCACGAGGCCGUGAGCACCUGCAGCCCGCAGAGGCAGUGCCGCUGCCUGCCUUCGUCCGAGCGAGCGAGCCCAGGCGGCCAGGCCCUAAGGGCUGACCGAGCCGCCGCUGGCCGCUGCGCGCGAGCAGCCGCUGAGCUGCCUCCGAGCCAGCCGCCACCCGCCAGGCCGCCAGCACGGUCGCGCUGCCCACCCUGGUACGCCAAUCCUCAUCUCUAUGCGGCGCCCAAGAAAACUCUGCACAAAGCUCAACUGGUCAGCUCCUUUUGCUAACUCUAUGAUCAAUUAUAUCUGUAUGUAAGACCUACAUGUAUGUUCUCACCGGAUCCCAGCUCUAAGAGGUUGAAAUUAGUCCUCGUCUCCCACUUUGCAAAGUCCUGGUGGUCUGAAACAAUAGAAAAGCCAUUGUAUGUAGCGUAAAAAUGCAUGGAAUUCACUAUCACAUAAUAGCAAAUCUGGAUGCUAGACACACGUAUCGGUCUUCUGUGACAAUCAUGGUACAAGGUUUACCUCGAUGAUUAUUCUUUUCUGAGACCCAUCAUCCUCCAACACUGGUAUAUCAUUUUAUUUAAUUCUACUAUUUAAUUUAAUUUAAUGCUACUUGCAAGAAUGCAUAGUGUACACUAUAUAAUUCAAUGCUACGAACUUUACACUUGGAAAUUACCUGAUUUUAGUUGUGGCGGCCCUGGACCUCUGUAACACAAAUGGAGAGGCAUAUGUAAACACCUUACUUGUAGCUUGUGUGUUAGUAGUUCCAUUUGACUUCAAUGAGGAUAAAGGCAGUGCAAAAGGUCCCAAAGGUCCAAACUCUAUAGUCUCCGGUGCCGGCCGUCGACACCAAGCAGGCCUUGAGCUUGUGGCAGCCGUGGUGAUCGGUCUUAUCACCAGUGGUGUCGUUAGAUGCCAAAUGCAGUUUGCUCUGCACGAGGAUUUUGCUUUCUGGUGUCUGUCCCGUUGGAACCGGGGAUUUCCUGAGUGACGAAUAGACUUCCCAUGGCAGCUAUUCUGUUGAGGAUGUGGGAAAGGUGCACUGCAGAGUCUGAGAAGUGAGAGAAAUAAAUGACAAGUGGUUUCAACUAAACCAAGCACCACAGUUGGAGGUCAAAUCCUUGGAAGACAAUAUUGUGAAGUUAUUGUAGCUUGUGUGCUAAAACGAGAUACAGUUUUGCCUCGCCCUGGAGUGAUGUCGUUGUGGUGCUUUUGUGACUGAUCAUCUCUGGAGCUUUUGUGAAUGAUCUAGCUAGAUAUCUGUAAAUGAUCUAGUUGUGAAUGAUAUUAUAAUUGUGAUGCUUUUGUGAAUA